ACCGCAUACAAACUAAUAAAGAGCAAAAUGCGCUCAUAGAUAUUUAUAAACAUAAAUAUUGGAUUUUCAUUUCAAAAUUAUUUAUUUUUAAAAUUAUUUAAAUGCAAAUAUUUUUUUUCCUCCAAGACAUGCGCAUUGUUUCUUUUUCACAUAGCAUCCGGAUAUUAAAUUUCGAAUCUCGCCAAUAUUCUGAAGCCUGAACCUAAUGGUUCAGGCAAUAAUCUGAAAAUCGGGGCCGAAUAGGCAAAGGUAUGAGUUGACAUCGAUCGUUUCCUAUGACAUGCUUUCCAUUCAUUUGCUAAUCGUUUACCGAUUUUUAAUGAAUAUGUUGUCUUUUGUCAGUUUGAUUAGUAGAUGAUGAAACAAAUUAUAACAGGAUGAUCAUCAAGGUCGGUAGUUGAAACUUACAGAGAUGAGAAGUUAAAUUUCAGAAAGUGGCGGGUUCUUUG
rnacentral:lncRNA from 1 species